GACGAACGCUGGCGGCGUGCUUAACACAUGCAAGUCGAACGGAAAGGCCCUGCUUGCAGGGUACUCGAGUGGCGAACGGGUGAGUAACACGUGGGUGAUCUGCCCUGCACUUCGGGAUAAGCCUGGGAAACUGGGUCUAAUACCGGAUAGGAGCCAUUUUUAGUGUGAUGGGUGGAAAGUUUUUUCGGUGUAGGAUGAGCUCGCGGCCUAUCAGCUUGUUGGUGGGGUAAUGGCCUACCAAGGCGGCGAUGGGUAGCCGGCCUGAGAGGGUGGACGGCCACAUUGGGACUGAGAUACGGCCCAGACUCCUACGGGAGGCAGCAGUGGGGAAUAUUGCACAAUGGGCGCAAGCCUGAUGCAGCGACGCCGCGUGGGGGAUGACGGCCUUCGGGUUGUAAACUCCUUUCGCUAGGGACGAAGCUUUUUGUGACGGUACCUAGAUAAGAAGCACCGGCUAACUACGUG
rnacentral:rRNA from 1 species